AUAAAAGAUUCAGCCUGGGAAAGAGUAGUGAUUGCUCUCCCGAGUCCAGGAGGUUGGCCCUGGCAUGGUACAAACAGGUUCAAAACAAAGGGCUGGAGACAUCUGUGAUGCUGACUCGAAUUUUUUGCUGGGGAUAACGUCUGUUCCAAAGUCCAGAAUUUCUCAGUGCCCCCAUCUGACAGCUCCAGCUUGGAGGCUUCUAAUACUAUUCAUUAAAGAUAGACUCUAAUGGCAACUCAGACAGGUCUCUUACAGAGGUAAGGGCCCUGCACCCCUCUUAGGGAGUCAUUGGGAUUUGGAAUUGCACUGGCUGGAGGCCCUUCCCAUGGAAUAGGAUUUGAUCCAUCCAAAUAAAUGGCUCUACAGGGUUAGCCUCACGGGCUUAGCCAUCUGUUUCCACGAUUACCAGGAGAUAGGUAUUCAGGAAGCCCCAAAGGGAAAAAAUGGCAGGCUGACUGCCCAGAAGACCAAAGAACCAGGAGAGUGUUCAUUCGGGUCUGGCUCUGGUGAUGAGCUUCAGGAGAUUCCUAGGGCAAUCCUGUCGAUGGUGGCAACUCAGUGUUCAUCCUGUGUCCGAAGCAUUACUGAAACUUUGAUACUACAAGAACCAUCCUUCCGCCUUACUUCUGAAGGCUUGGGCUGAACUACUCCUCAGAGAUCCACUGACAAGCCGGGGCCUGAGGACACUGGCCGUGGAGAAAGACAGGCCCAGAGAGAGCCUCAUCUUCUGGAAUAAUAGAGAAUGGAUACAGGAAGAGGAAGAUUAUUCAACUAUUUCUUGGUUGGGCACAUCAGUAGCUGAGAGACUCCUCUGACCAUGGUCAGCCUCAGGAAGUGAGUGCCAACAGCCUUGCAGAUGGGAACUCAACUCCUGAGUACCCAUGCCUGAAAAGACAUAAGUCCCGCUCCCACCGGCACCAGACCCCCUGCCCUCCCUCUACCCCAAUACUAGAACUCCAGACCUCACCCCUCCUCCCCAGAGACAUAUCAACAGGAAGUUAAGUCAGCUGGAACACUCUGUUCCCUUGACAUUUCUGUUUUAAUUCUGCAGCUGUGUUUAAGGCUUCAUGAAUGAUCUGUCUGGCACGGUCUGUUUGUCUGCCUGAUGCUUCUUCUCCCUGCACCAGGUCAUGAUUACCCUAAGGCUGGUAGAGCAAAACUAGAACUAGGGUUGGUAAGAAGGAAGUGGGAUGGUAAGAAAGGGCAUUAGGGACUGUAGUAUUAGCUGUUGAUGAGCUAAGGAGGAUGAUCUGAUUGCUCGCUCAGGGAGAAGGAAUUCCUAAAUCAUUAACAGUGUGCAUUGCCCAUAGCUCUCUUUCCUCACCCCCUUAUGGUAUUUAUCUCUACGUCACAUCAUAGUGAUGUAUGGGUGUGUCUUUUCUCCUCAGUAUUCUAUAGUGCCUACUUACAUGCCCUAUUCAUGCUUAUUCAUGUUCAGGAAGUAGUUGGUAAUUGAAGGAAUGAGCCUUCUCUCCUUCCUUUUAUCUCGUCAGCUUAUCACUUAAAAACAAAAACAAGCCAUAGCUUCCAAAUUCAACUUGGUCCUACUCAGGGUGGUAUUUCUUAAUUUCUUGUAGCUGCAAAUCACAGUUCUGUAUCCUUGCUUGCCAAUGUCUGUUUUGAUAUUCAUCUAGUUGGUUCUGAGACAUAUCAGAGCACUAUUUUGUUCUUUCCUGGCUGCUUUUUCUUCUACUGCCUCUCGUCGAAGUCUAGAGAGAAACUUAGAGAUCUUCAGUUUCUAAAGCCACUAAGAACCUAGAAGGAAAAUGGUGAUUAGUCUCUCCAAGUUCUUCUUCCUCAACAGACCCAAAAAGAGUCUUCUCCAUUCACUGGUCCAUCGGGAUCACAUGUGUGAAACAUCAAGGCUGGCUUUAAAGGACCACCCAGCAAAUGGCUUAUUGUUAGUUACACGAGCUGGAUAUGCUUUGUCAGUCACUCCGCUUGAAACCUAAGCAUGAGAGAACAUAGCUCACAAGACAGGUAUGGCCCCAUAUGUCUCCAUAAGCCCACAUCUAGAAAAUACAUAUGCAGAUUUUUCUGUUGACA